rnacentral:rRNA from 1 species
CCUACGGGAGGCAGCAGUGAGGAAUAUUGGUCAAUGGACGAGAGUCUGAACCAGCCAAGUAGCGUGAAGGCUGACUGCCCUAUGGGUUGUAAACUUCUUUUAUAUGGGAAUAAAACGUUCCACGUGUGGGAUUUUGUAUGUACCAUAUGAAUAAGGAUCGGCUAACUCCGUGCCAGCAGCCGCGGUAAUACGGAGGAUCCGAGCGUUAUCCGGAUUUAUUGGGUUUAAAGGGAGCGUAGGUGGAUAGUUAAGUCAGUUGUGAAAGUUUGCGGCUCAACCGUAAAAUUGCAGUUGAAACUGGCAGUCUUGAGUACAGUAGAGGUGGGCGGAAUUCGUGGUGUAGCGGUGAAAUGCUUAGAUAUCACGAAGAACUCCGAUUGCGAAGGCAGUUCACUGGACUGCAACUGACACUGAGGCUCGAAAGUGUGGGUAUCAAACAGGAUUAGAUACCCUUGUAGUC